UUAAGUAGAGCUACUUUCAAGUCCGCACAAAUUAGCCUCUUAUGUUCCUUGAAUAAAAGCGAGGUUCUUGGAUGUUUCUCUUAGAAUGACUGAGUGAGCAAUUGGAACUGAAGGCAUGGUGUUCCCAAUGUGCAACAGAACCGCUUUUAUGCUGUAAAGGGACGCAUCUAUGAAUAACCUCCACUCAUUUGGUUCAUAGGUCAGCUCAAGGGCAUUGAAUAGGUCUCUGAUAUCAUUACAGUAAGUCAAGUUGUUUUCCAGAGUGAAGAAUUGCGCAUCUUUAUCCAACAGAUUUUGAGUGAGUGC